rnacentral:ncRNA from 1 species
UGUCAUCCACACGGGAGCCCUAUUGCAGGGGCUGAGAUCGGGCUGAGGCAGCCUGCGACCGUCGAACCUGUCCGGGUAAUGCCGGCGAAGGAAGAGGAACCCCAUCAUGA